UCAGGUCCAACAGAACCAGGAUCGAGACCAAUCCAUCGUCAGCAGCUAAUAACAAGUCAUUAGUUACUUUGACUAACGCAGUUUCAGUGCUAUGACGAGCACGAAAGCCAGACUGGAAGUGUUCAAAUAAACUAUUGUCCUGUAAAUGCUGACACAGCUGUUUAACUACCACUCUUUCAAGAACUUUUGAGAGGAAGGGCAAAUUAGAUAUAGGUCUGUAAUUGACCAGGAUGUCAGGAUCUAGAGUAGUUUUUUUCAGAAGUGGUUUAAUAACAGCAAAUUUAAAAGAUUGUGGCACGUAGCCAGUAACUAGUGAGGUAUUUAUUAUAAUUAGGAUUGUGUCAA